rnacentral:tRNA from 1 species
UCUCCCAUAGUGUAGUGGUUAGCACUGUUGACUUUGACAAUGGCGAAGCUAUCAACCGGCCGGAGUUCGAAUCUCCGUGGGAGAA